rnacentral:rRNA from 1 species
UACGAAGGGGGCUAGCGUUGCUCGGAAUCACUGGGCGUAAAGCGCACGUAGGCGGCUUUCUAAGUCAGGGGUGAAAUCCUGGAGCUCAACUCCAGAACUGCCUUUGAUACUGGAGAGCUAGAGUCCGGAAGAGGUGAGUGGAACUGCGAGUGUAGAGGUGAAAUUCGUAGAUAUUAGGAAGAACACCAGUGGCGAAGGCGCUCACUGGUCCGGUACUGACGCUGAGGUGCGAAAGCGUGGGGAGCAACAGGAUUAAGAAACCCCGG